rnacentral:rRNA from 1 species
UUGAACGCUGGCGGCAGGCCUAACACAUGCAAGUCGAGCGGCAGCGGAAAGUAGCUUGCUACUUUGCCGGCGAGCGGCGGACGGGUGAGUAAUGUCUGGGAAACUGCCUGAUGGAGGGGGAUAACUACUGGAAACGGUAGCUAAUACCGCAUAACGUCGCAAGACCAAAGAGGGGGACCUUCGGGCCUCUUGCCAUCAGAUGUGCCCAGAUGGGAUUAGCUAGUAGGUGGGGUAACGGCUCACCUAGGCGACGAUCCCUAGCUGGUCUGAGAGGAUGACCAGCCACACUGGAACUGAGACACGGUCCAGACUCCUACGGGAGGCAGCAGUGGGGAAUAUUGCACAAUGGGCGCAAGCCUGAUGCAGCCAUGCCGCGUGUAUGAAGAAGGCCUUCGGGUUGUAAAGUACUUUCAGCGGGGAGGAAGGUGUUGAGGUUAAUAACCUCAGCAAUUGACGUUACCCGCAGAAGAAGCACCGGCUAACUCCGUG